UNUUUCGUCGGGCGGUGCUGGGUUUAGCUAACGUGACGGCGUAUGAGUGGUGAUUGGGUUGUAUCCGACGGCAGGCUCCGUGCUUCGGCAUCGAACUGUCGGCUCGUACCCCGCUUCAGUGACGCGUCAAAGAUCYGUCUUGCGCGCAAGAUGGGUUUCUGUUUUGGCUACCUAUUGCGAAGGAAUGCUGCCUAUCGUCGUCCCUUUCCUCCUCUCGCCGGCCUUGUCGGCGGGAGGACGACAUCGUGGCGGUGCUCGUGUCCCGGACAAGCCGCACUCGUUGCGAUGCAGUUUCGGCGCUCGAGUCUCCGCUCGACAUCUCGGAUGCGGAACGCUAAAGGGGCGGUGGGUCUUUACGGCCUCCGAUCGUCCGCUCGRAGCCUUGUCGCUUGACGCGUACGACUGCCGUGCCCGUCGCGGGACGGCGACCGUCAGGGUCGUCCGUCCGGCGCGGCGCCGGCGUCGAGGAGGAAUGC
rnacentral:misc_RNA from 1 species